rnacentral:misc_RNA from 1 species
GAUGAAGAACGUAGUGAAAUGCGAUACGUAAUGUGAAUUGCAGAUUUCAGUGAAUCAUCGAGUCUUUGAACGCACAUUGCGCCCCCUGGUAUUCCGGGGGGCAUGCCUGUCCGAGCGUCAUUGCUGCCCUCAAGCACGGCUUGUGUGUUGGGCCCCGCCCCCCGGCUCCCGGGGGGCGGGCCCGAAAGGCAGCGGCGGCACCGCGUCCGGUCCUCGAGCGUAUGGGGCUUCGUCACCCGCUCCGUAGGCCCGGCCGGCGCCCGCCGGCGACCCCCCUCAAUCUUUUCAGGUUGACCUCGGAUCAGGUAGGGAUACCCGCUGAACUUAAGCAUAUCAAUAAGCGGAGGA